rnacentral:rRNA from 1 species
GGAUCUAGUGGCAGACGGGUGAGUAACGCGUGGGAACCUGCCCAGUAGUAGAGAAUAACUUGGGGAAACUUAAGCUAAUACUUUAUACGUCCUUCGGGAGAAAGCUUUAUGCGCUAUUGGAUGGGCCCGCGUUAGAUUAGUUUGUUGGUGAGGUAAUGGCUCACCAAGGCGACGAUCUAUAGCUGGUCUGAGAGGAUGAUCAGCCACACUGGGACUGAGACACGGCCCAGACUCCUACGGGAGGCAGCAGUGGGGAAUAUUGGACAAUGGGGGCAACCCUGAUCCAGCGAUGCCGCGUGAGUGAUGAAGGCCCUAGGGUUGUAAAACUCUUUCGUCAGGGAAGAUAAUGACGGUACCUGAAGAAGAAGAUCCGGCUAACUCCGUGCCAGCAGCCGCGGUAAUACGGAGGGGUCUAGCGUUAUUCGGAAUUACUGGGCGUAAAGCGAGCGUAGGCGGAUUUGUAAGUUGGAGGUGAAAUCCCAGAGCUUAACUCUGGAACUGCCUUCAAAACUACAUUUCUUGAGUUUGGUAGAGGAGAGUGGAAUUCCUAGUGUAGAGGUGAAAUUCGUAGAUAUUAGGAGGAACACCAGUGGCGAAGGCGACUCUCUGGGCCAAUACUGACGCUGAGGUUCGAAAGCAUGGGUAGCGA